rnacentral:rRNA from 1 species
ACUUGGAGAACUGUGGUAAUUCUAGAGCUAAUACAUGCACCAAAGCUCCGAUCCUCGCGGAGAGGAGCGCAUUUGUUCGCCACAAAACCAAGCCCCCAUCUGGGCGUCCAGUGCUGAACCAGUACAACUCAGCUGAUCGCACGGUCUUGUACCGGCGACGUGUCUUUCAAGUGUCUGCCUUAUCAACUUUCGAUGGUAGUGUACCUGACUACCAUGGUUGUGACGGGUAACGGAGGAUAAGGGUUCGACUCCGGAGAAGGGGCCUGAGAAAUGGCCACUACGUCUAAGGAUGGCAGCAGGCGCGCAAAUUACCCACUCUCAACGCGAGGAGGUAGUGACGAGAAAUAACGAGACCGUUCUCAUACGAGGCCGGUUAUUGGAAUGGGUACAAUUUAAA